AUGAUACAUGAGACCUAUUUAUUCCAUCAAGAACUGCUGCUGUUUCAGACCUAUCCUCCAAUAUUUAUGAACUGUCCAAUUGGAGAAACAACCAGGGCUGCAAAUACUCAUGCGCAAAUUCUGGACCUAAUAUUUACUUCUGGCGUUUUCUUUCGCUUUAUUGGACUUUUGGAAAAUGGGUGCAAGCUGCUAACCGGUGGAAUGACAAAUAUCGUGUCUGUUACCUUUCUCUUGCUAAGUCAUGUGAUGCAGGUUACAUGUCUUAAGCUGUCAAAGUGA